rnacentral:rRNA from 1 species
GACGAACGCUGGCGGCGUGCUUAACACAUGCAAGUCGAACGGUGAAGCGCCUUCCUUUUUGGUGGGUGUGGAUGAGUGGCGAACGGGUGAGUAACACGUGAGUAACCUGCCCCCUUCUUCUGGAUAACCGCAUGAAAGUGUGGCUAAUACGGGAUAUUCUGGGUCUGUCGCAUGAUGGGUCUGGGAAGGAUAUUGUUUCGGUGGGGGAUGGGCUCGCGGCCUAUCAGCUUGUUGGUGGGGUGAUGGCCUACCAAGGCGGUGACGGGUAGCCGGCCUGAGAGGGUGGACGGUCACACUGGGACUGAGACACGGCGCAGACUCCUACGGGAGGCAGCAGUGGGGAAUAUUGCACAGUGGGCGCAAGCCUGAUGCAGCGACGCCGCGUGAGGGAUGGAGGCCUUCGGGUUGUGAACCUCUUUCGCCAGUGAAGCAGGCCUGCCUCGUUUGUGGGUGGGUUGACGGUAGCUGGAUAAGAAGCGCCGGCUAACUACGUG